rnacentral:tRNA from 1 species
GCCUCUUUGGCGCAGUUGGCAACGAUUAAAUCUCAUAAUCUUAAGGUCGUGAGUUCGAUCCUCACAGGGGGCA